GUAGGCCCCCCCUUGCUCAAAGGUUAAUCCAUUUUAAGUUGUAAAUAAAAAAACAUUUUUACGAGAUAAAAAGUGUCAACAAAGCUUUCGAAAUUUUAAAAGAAAAAGACCACUUUAGUUUAAAAAUUAUAUAAGGUUGAUUUUCUAGAAGAAAAUAAAAGCACUGUACUAUAUUUAAGAUUGAUGAAAAAGCUAUGCAUUUUAUAAGAAAAUGAAUGACAUAAAAUUGGAUUCAAACUGAACUGCCAAUUUUUUUUUUGAAUAGAUUUCAGUAAAUAAACUGUAGAUAGUAUUUAGAUGACUCUGAUUUUUAAUUAGAUAUUUUUUGGAUAAAAUUAGCCAAUUUGUUUUUGUUUAAUCAAAUUAUAGUAAAAUCAAUUUCGUGGCAAAAGACCACUAGAUGUGUGGUAAAGUAGCUCAACUUUCCCAUUUAUACCAUAAACAACGUUGACUACAUUCUCUGGUUCAAUUUGGUAUGGAAGAAUACCCAAUAUGCUCAUAUAGUAUCUUUGACCUUUGCUGAAUGGAAAAAAGGAAAUAAAUAAAAGAAAGAAGCUGUAAUUUGAUAUUUUACCAAACCAGUCACGUCUAUUCCUGUCCUAAAAAUCAACUUUUAAACAUCUAAGACCAAAACAAUCUCUACACAUCUCACUAGACUAAACUAAAUUCUCAGUGAUCACUCUUGUUUCUCUGCACUAGAGUUGCACCAGGACUCUCUCACUUUUGGUAAAGCCUCUCUUCUUCUCCUUAGCCUUAACCUUAUCGCCCUCUCCUUUUUUUUGUCAUGGAGUGGUUCAUAGAUCUUAAGGAGUGUUUGAUGUUCUCUAUGUGUGGUUGAUGAGAAGUCAUAAAAUGAUCAGACCUUAUCCCAAAAUUUAAUCAAUACCUUUCCAUGCGGUUCAUCGUUGUAAUUUUCAAACUUGAAGUGUUAGGAGAAUGAGAUGAAUUUAUAUUAAGCUUUUAGGGUUGCAUGUUUGAUUUUUCAACUAUAAUUCAAUGAUAUCCUCUUUACAAAUAAAUGCCUGAUACGGUUUAUGCACACAUGUACUUGUUAGCUUCUACGCGUGGACCAAUUAUUUAAACUUGUAACUGACUGUUUUGGUUAUCAAUGGUUUUUCAGUAGGAAGUGAGGGGAAAACUCCUAGAGAUGGAUGCAAGAGAUGACAACGAGGAUCCAAUGGAGGCAAAAGAGGAGGAGAAUAUAAACGAAAGCAUAAUGGAGAUGCAAGAUGACCAACAGAUGGAAGAAAACAACAAUCAAGAUGAGGAGAUGCAAGCUGUUGAUACAAGAUCUGAAAGUUGUGUUUCUCUUUCUGAUGAUGAAGAACAAUUGCUGAUGGGACAUGAUGAUGAGUCGGAUCUUGAGUCUAUUAUCAUGCAGAAACCUCUGAGCGAGGAAGAGAUAGACGAGUUGAUUUCAGAGCUUGUGGGAGUAGAGAGUAAGGCGGCAGAAGCUCAAAAAGCAAUUGAAGAGGAGUCUCUUGCUAAAGUAGAGGGUGAAGUUAGGGAGAAACUAGCACGCACACUCCGUGGUGUUGAGGUUAACUUAUCUUUUUUUAUUAUUAUUAUCAUCAUAGGCUCAUAGCUUCAAGUUCCUUUGUUCUCUUCUAAUUAACAUCUUUGAACGUGCAUGUUUUUAGCUGGAUAAAUCUGUAUCAGCUGAAAUGAUGACUUUUAAAGACGUAAGGGAGGAAACUCUUGAUAAUCUUGAAAUUAAAAGUGCAAACUUGUUGGAACAACUAUCAGGUGCUGGAGUUGAACUUCCAAAGUUGUACAAAAUGAUUGAAAGUCAAGUCCCUAGUCGUCUCUACACAGAAGCUUGGAAAAAAAGAGCCCACUGGGUUGGGACUCAGGUAACAGAAGAAACCGUGGAAUCAUUGGCAAACGCAGAGAGUUUUCUUCAGACUCACCGUCCUGUCCGAAAGUAGGUUUUGUUUUUGUUUAUCUUCAACUUUUAGUAAUGCAACUGGAUGGUAUAUAUCUAAAUAUAUUUUGGUGUAGACGACAUGGGGAACUUUUGGAGGAGGGAGCUAGUGGGUUUCUGGAGAAAAAGUUUGCUGAUGAUGGUGUUAAAGAAUCUCAAGCUGGACCAUCUGAACUUGACUGGUCAUCUCUCAACAAAGUUUUUACGGAAAAAAAGGAUGAGGCGGUCUCCUUUGGUAGUAAGAAUUGGGCUUCUGUUUACUCGGCAAGCACUCCACAACAAGCUGCAGCCAUGGGAUUAGAGUUUCCAGGAGUCAAUGAGGUUAAAUUUUAUCACCUACCUGCCAAUAAUACAUUUUAUGCAUGCAUGCCUUUUUUUUUCCUUUUUUAGUUUAUGCUUGCAAAUUAGUAAAUUUUUGGUCCAUUGUUGUAGCCUGAUCAGAAUAGGAAACAUAACUCACACUAAAAUGUAGGUUUUUAUUAAGAUUAAGAUUAAGAUAAAAAGAGUAUAUAAGUCAAGUUGAUGUGAAAUAAUAAUCAGGAAAAAGCAUUAAGCCAAGUUCAUUCAUAUGAUACAAGGCAUUAUUUACAACCUUGGGAGGCAAGUUAUCUUUGAAGAUCUCAUGUUCCUUCUCAAGCUAGCUUUAGCAAAGUUGGAGAUUUUAAAAUAUCGGGCUUGCUAAUCCUAUAUCAUAGCCAUACAAGAAUGAUUAUCACAGUAUUUUUUUUUUCAGGUGGAGGAAAUUGAAGAGAUUGAUGCAGACUUGGAAGGUACUUUUUUUGCCGAUGCAAUGGAAAACGAAAGAGUGCUUGCCCAAACUGAAGAACAAAAGAAAAACUAUACAAGAGCCAGAGAGGAGGAUGAUAUAAAUAUUGAUCUUCAACUUCGUUUGAAUCAGAAGAGACGCAAGACAAGAUCUAAACAGGUUAUCAGGCACACGGCAGAGAAUAGUGAUGAUGAGUCUGCGUGUUUGUAUGAGAAUAAUACUGUCCCAAACCCGGCUGAAGAUCAAGUAAAAUGUCUGGAGACUAGCACUCAGUUUCAAAACAAUGAAGACGACAAAGAGGAGAGCAUGAACUUGUCUAAUUCAGAUGUAGAUGAGAUGGUUCCUGUCACAGAAUCUUAUGCUGAAGAUAGUCAAAACACUUCAACGAAACAGAAGGUUGGUUGCUGCUCAGACAAGUUGAUGGAGAACUUACUACAGUUACACAACCCCAAGUAAGUUUGCAAGAGUACUUAUUUUCUUUGGUUUAUGACUCUCUCACUGUCUGUUCUUUCUUUUACUAUUAGCUGGAUCUCUAGUUUGCAUGAGCAUGAGACAUUUCUAAAAGAAAAUGAAGAAGAGAACCCGACAAUGGAAGAAAAAGACAUGGCCUGGGAAGUUUACAGGAGAGCGUUAGAGUGGAAAGGAGUUCAGCGUGUAGCUCCAGAGCUCCAAAAACCUUUACCUUCACCACAAACAGUGACCCCACGGCUCCCAAAGAGGUUCAACAGAAGUCGUUUUGUGAUCCGCAACUGCACUAGAACGGCGCAUCAGCGCACACUCAUAAGCCAAGGAAGUAAAGUCGGUAGCAGCACGGUUUGUGGGGAGUGUGGGCUCGUAUUAACGUGGGAAGAUGUUACUACACCUGCGCCCAAAAUAGAUUACUUUUGAAACAUUGCAAAAGAGUUUGAGUUUGCUUUUUGCUUAUUUUAAGUUGGAACUGAAACCAAGAUAGAGUUUACUUGAACUCAUGCUGAAACUUGUGUCUUAUAAACCUAAAGUGAUUUGAGAA